rnacentral:tRNA from 1 species
GUCGGAGUGGCGGAACCGGCAGACGCGCACGUUUGAGGGGCGUGUGGGGUAACCCAUGGGGGUUCAAGUCCCCCCUCCGACACCA